AUGAGGUUCAGAACUGGAUUGAGCAGUAAAUGCUGGAUGAUGGCGAUGAUGAUGAUGAUGAGGCAACUAAUUGCUGAUUAUCAUCCGAAUAUUCAAGAUCAGCAACCAGGAAGUAGUACACAUUUUGGUUAUGAUGUCUUCACCAAAAAUGGAUUCAGGGAUUGGAAGCAUGCAUAUCAGGCAUUGCCUGCUCAUGUUGGUGGGGUAAAUAGUGCACACAAAAAGGCAAGAUUGCAUUAUGAUGAUUUUCAUAAUCAAAGGCAAAGCGUGUCUAGUAACUUUGCUAGGUCAUCCAAGGAGUCUGAAGUACUUUACAAAAUUCGGUUGCCCACUUCUAUGGGUUGUGCAAGAUAUCUCAUUGCUCAAGGCUUGGCUUUUCGUGGCCAUGAUAAAAGUUCAACUUCACUGAACAAGGGUAACUUCCAUGAGAUGGUAGAUUGGCAUAAAGCUAGAGAUGAGAAAGUGAGGAAUGCUUUUGACCAUGAAGAGGUCACCAAAGCGAUCAUGAGAGAAAUUGGUGAUAAGAAAUUCUCUGUGCUUGUCGAUGAGUCAUGUGAUAUAUCUGUCAAAGAGCAAAUGGCGGUGAUGUUGAGGUAUGUCAAUGAUAAAGGGAAAACCGUGGAACGAGUUCUCUCUCUAUACCAUGCCAGUGAGACUACAUCAGAGGCACUAAAGGUAGCUCUUGUUGACAUUCUUGAUCAUCAUAAGUUAUCCAUUCAUAGUCUACGAGGGCAAGGAUAUGAUGGAGCUUAA
rnacentral:rRNA from 1 species